rnacentral:misc_RNA from 1 species
AAGUCGUAACAAGGUUUCCGUAGGUGAACCUGCGGAAGGAUCAUUAUCGAGUUAACUAUCGACUUUGAUGCUGGCCGUUUUCGGCAUGUGCUCGAGUCUUUAAAAUCCACUCAACCACUGUGCACUAAUUCGAAGCUUUUGCGGGGGUUCAGCGCUCCCUUCCUCUUCGUUGAGGAGGGUUUUAGAGUUCGGGCUUUUGCGGGGUUUUCGAGCUUUUCAUAUAAACCACAUCUUGUCAUGUCGAAUGUAAUACUUUAUUAAAAUACAACUUUCAACAACGGAUCUCUUGGCUCUC